rnacentral:misc_RNA from 1 species
AAAUCAGAGCUCUAAAACCCUAGAGGAGCGAUCUCCCCCAAUUACAUGGCCUCCUCGAUGCUCCGCCUCAGCACCCCUCCCACCGGCCUCGGCCUCACCGCCUCGCUGUCGCCCUCACCGUCGCAUCCCAUGCUCAGCUUCCCCAGCCCCCGCCGGCGCCCCCGCCUCACCCCGAUCCGCUGCAGCGCCGCCUCCUCCGCCCCCCGCCCGGCCUCCCAGCCCCGCUUCAUCCAGCACAAGAAGGAGGCCUUCUGGUUCUACCGGUUCCUCUCCAUCGUCUACGAUCAUGUCAUUAACCCUGGGCACUGGACUGAGGAUAUGAGGGACGAUGCGCUGGAGCCGGCGGAUCUGUACGAUCCGCGGCUCACCGUUGUGGAUGUCGGGGGCGGGACGGGGUUUACGACGUUGGGGAUCGUGAAGCAUGUGUAUCCGGAGAAUGUGACGAUUCUCGACCAGUCACCGCACCAGCUGGAG